GUCUUGUCCCCAUGGCUGUGCUGGGAGCAGAACCCCUGCAGGGUGGCUGUUUGCACUGCCGCGCCACAGCACCAUGGUCCUGUCAGUCAGACCCAGCUGCUGCCAUUGCCUGCAGGCAGCAGCACAGGCCCUGCCGCCCUGGGCAUCCCCUUGCACCGGGCCCCGAAGGAGCAGGUGCUGCUCCCUGGCCCAGAGCUGGCAGCUUUGCUGUGCAUGCAGGCUUCAUCUGAGGAAUGCUCCCCUGAGGAAGGGCUGUGGUUUUAAUGUCUAAUCAUUAGUGCAGAGCUGUGCUAUGACAAACAAGUAUGCAGGCACAUGCUCGAGUUGAGAGUCACGUAAGAGGCAGAAAAACUGGCAGAAGAUGAAGAUAUGAAGAUUGCCUAAUUCUGAAUUGAACACAUCCGGUUUGUACUGUGGACAAGGCUCUUAGGGUGCUGUCCUUCCCUUUGGAUAGGUG